UGGCAUGAAGUGGGACGGCUAUGGACUCAGGCUGUUUGUUGGUGAGGAGAGGGAAAAUGGAGAGGAGUCAGCAGAAUGCAAAGAAAGUCCUGGCAGGGGGCGGGAGAAGAGUGCGGGGCCUGGCACGAGGAUGCUCAUUGGCGAGAAGCAGAGCGAGAGGAGAGCGCCCGGGCACGGCGAGGACAGGCGAGGAGAGCGCGGAGGGCGCGGCGACUGAGCACCUGGGCGGCCAGACCCUGGGCGCAGGACAGCCGGGCGGAGGGGUCCCGGGUGCUAGGAGUUCAGGACGUGAGUGGUCCAGGGCACAUUGGAGGACUCGCGUGGUCCCGCAGACAGCCGCCCACCAUGAGCGAGACCAGCCGGCUGUGCUCUGGCUACUACAGCCUCAACCACACCUUCGUGGAGCCCUUCCAGUGCCCCCGGCGCGGCGAGGGGGCCGCGCUCCUCUACUGCUGCGGCUUUGCGGACCUGAAGUACUGCUGCAGCGAGCCGGGCAGCUACUUCCCCUACAAGCACAGCUACAUGUGGAGCCUCAGCAUUGGUGCUCUGAUUGGAUUGGGAAUCGCUGCCCUUGUUUUACUUGCUUUUGUCAUCAGCGUCUGUGUCCUCUGCUAUUUAUUUCUGUACACAAAGCCUCACAGAUUAGACACUGGCCUUAAACUUCAACACCUCGAGGCUUCUUCCUCUCAAGAAGAUUACUGUACGUAUCUUUGUGAAAAUUCACAUUGAAUCAGCUCUUAAUGAUUGAAAACCUUCGGAAAUUGUGUUCAAGGAAAAAGAGCAGCCUGAUGUUAAAGUCCUCCUGAAAAGUCAAUUGUUGGUUCAGCAACUUAAAUAGGAAAACUAAAGCCCUCAAUUCAAAUGCAGCAUCAAAUUCAACAAAUGAAACAUCUUAUGAAGCUGAUGAUGUAACUCAAGAAAAAGCAAUGGAUACAGCACAAAUCAAUAUUGCUUAUUAACGGAAAAUUCUGUGUUUUAAAAGCUCAUUGGAG